rnacentral:rRNA from 1 species
AGAGUUUGAUCCUGGCUCAGAUUGAACGCUGGCGGCAUGCUUUACACAUGCAAGUCGAACGGCAGCAUAGGUGCUUGCACCUGAUGGCGAGUGGCGGACGGGUGAGUAAUGCAUCGGGACGUGUCCGGAAGAGGGGGAUAACUGUUCGAAAGAACAGCUAAUACCGCAUAAUAUCCGAGGAAGAAAGCUGGGGACCUUAGGGCCUGGCGCUUACGGGGCGACCGAUGUCUGAUUAGCUAGUUGGUGGGGUAAAAGCCUACCAAGGCGACGAUCAGUAGCUGGUCUGAGAGGACGACCAGCCACACUGGGACUGAGAAACGGCCCAGACUCCUACGGGAGGCAGCAGUGGGGAAUUUUGGACAAUGGGGGCAACCCUGAUCCAGCAAUGCCGCGUGUCUGAAGAAGGCCUUCGGGUUGUAAAGGACUUUUGUUGGGGAGCAAGGUGCACAGGUUAAGAGCUAGUGUACUUGAGAGUACCCAAAGAAUAAGGACCGGCUAACUACGUGCCAGCAGCCGCGGUAAUACGUAGGGUCCAAGCGUUAAUCGGAAUUACUGGGCGUAAAGAGUGCGCAGGCGGCUUUGUAAGCUUGAUGUGAAAUCCCCGGGCUCAACCUGGGAACUGCAUUGAGGACUGCAAGGCUAGAGUGUAGCAGAGGGGGGUAGAAUUCCACGUGUAGCAGUGAAAUGCGUAGAGAUGUGGAGGAAUACCGAUGGCGAAGGCAGCCCCCUGGGUUAACACUGACGCUCAUGCACGAAAGCGUGGGGAGCAAACAGGAUUAGAUACCCUGGUAGUCC